AAUAAACCCACGUGUAAGAAUGGUUGGUCCAGAUAUAAAUUCAUUGCUAUAUCGUAAAGUCAAAAUUACUCAGAAUGAAUGUUUCUGUCAAAUUGGAGAUGUUAACUAGUUCUGCAUGUUAUAAAAUUAAAAAUUCAAUCACUAUCAGUGAAAUACUAAUCAACUUUCGUUUUCAAACGACAAUCAGAAUCAGACAUAAAAUAGACAAGAAAACAAUGAUUAAUGUCCUGCAACUAAUCCCAAUAGGCCCCUCUAAAAAUUCAAGAACUUUUUUUUUUACACUUCUUUUU
rnacentral:lncRNA from 1 species